rnacentral:lncRNA from 1 species
GCUAAGCUGUGUGCCCCAAUAAUCACGUUCUCCUUUUAAUAACGUAAAAUAAUAGUAAAUAAAAACAGCACCAAACUCCGGAAAACACUCUCAAAGGUCUUUUCUCCUGAGGAUCUGCCAUCUGAGGUUUUCUGCAGCUGUGCAAGAAUUAUUGAAGAACUGGCACGUGAGGAGAAUAAUCAAUCUUUGAAAUGUUCCAGACUAAUCCUGAUUUUUAAUCCUCUCACACAUCACACCACCAUGAGAGACCUUACAUUUUAGGGAUACAGUACUGCUGUCUAGUGCUAAUACUAUCCUCAUUGCCAGUUAGUUACAUAAGCUGACAGAAAACAGAGCAUGUGUCCUUGCAUUUUAAGCUCUAGAGACGUUCUCCUUUUCUGAGUUCUCAAAGCUGUAAGCUGUUUUGCAGACAAAGUUGUGCAGCAUAUUUGGCUGAAAAACUACAAUUACCCUUAAAAUUACCUUUGAAGCUUAUUUCAUGAGCUAUCUAAUUCUGGUUAGACUGCUAAACCAGGCUCCUCCUGAAGAGCAGCAUGGUGGAACUUGUCAUCUUUAUGAAUGGCAGAGACCUUCCUGCGGAGAAAACAAGUUGAGACCUGGGAAUGGUGAUGCUGAAGGGCAGCAAGUGAGUGAGUAUGUCAGAUGAUCAGGUAAGAUAGAAGCUCUAAUCUUUUUUGGUUCUGAAAUCAGCUUCACUGUUCAGAUCCUCUGUGGGUUGUCGUUUACUGUUGCACCAGGCUAGCCAGUACAUACAAGCUGAAUAAUUAACUCCUUAGUUAGAGAGAAGACCUGCUGAGAUCAGACUGCAGUUUUUCAUUCAGCAAUACAUUUCAGACCCUCCCUCUCAGCUAUUCAGCUUCUAAUUUUCUCAAAAUGUGAAAGAAUGUGCAUUUUUUUUUUCAGUUAAGCUUGCUCCUUCUUCCAUGCUCUCACCAAACUGGGUCAAAAUAAUCCAGGAGGUCCAAAAGUGACUGGGGACGUGUACUGGGUCUGUCUGGGACAGAGUUAACUUUCCCUGCAGCAGUCCAUAUAGUGGUGUGCUCUGCACCUGUAGCUAGAACAGCAUUGGUAUCACUCCAGUGUUGUGUGUACUUCUGAGCAGUGCUGGCACUGCAUCAGAACUUCCUCCAACCCCUCCAGAGCCAGAAGGCUGGGGUGGGCAAAAGGCAAGGAAGGAACAUCACCAGGGCAGCUGACCUAAACCAACCAACGGAUAUUCCAUACCAUGUGGUGUCACACUCAGCAAUAAAAGGCAGAAAAAGAAAGAACA